rnacentral:lncRNA from 1 species
UCCCAUUCACUGAGUUCUCUGUUUUCUUUACUUUACUUUUCUUCGUGUAUUUGUUAAUACUCCCUUUACUCCUAUCUUUAUCACUCACCUCCCGAAGUUGUGUGGAAAUUGACCGUCGUCUACUCGUCGUCUAGGUUCGCUGCUUCGAAAAAGGUAACACUCCUCUUACUUCAUCUAAUUCUGGUAUGCAUUUGCUAUCCACUUUUAUGAGUUAAAGUGAAUUUUGGUGUGCCUAUUAGCUUUACAAUAUUUUACGUUUACUGGCGAUCUUUUGUUCAUUAUGUGUAGAUUAUGAUUCAAUAGAGGAAAAAAACUUGAAUUUUUAUAAUGGAAAAGACGUGUACUUAUUUCUUGUGAAAAUCCCAUUCAAAUAAUCUAGUGGUUUUUCCUGUUAUAGCACGAAGCAGGGAUUUUAUUUUUUUGUGUUCAUACUUGACUACGUUUUCUCCUUAUGUGUUUAAGUCGCCUUUUUUUAAAUUUUUUUUGUCUUUUCUUUGUUCUUUUUUUUUGGAAUAUAAAUAUUUUUUUAGUGACCGUCUGUUGAGCUUAUGCAUCAUUUUACCUUGUUAAGAUCGACAUUUUCUUUUCAUGUAUAUCACGUAAUGUGUAGUUAAUCUUACUAGAUUCGAAUAAUUUAUGAAGAUCAGCACAUUACUAAGAGUGCAAUUUAAGAUGAAUCUGCUCCCCGCUGAGUCAUAACACUAAUGUAUCUUUUGGCUUGAGUGGCAUUGUUGAUGAAUCUGAUUAAAGAAAGCAUGAUGUGGGAUUCAAUCAAUGAUUUAGUAGAAUAUUCGAUCUUUCCAGUUAAAUGCUUAGAGGACUUGUGUCUUAACUAUUGCCUGAUGAAUGUCAAAAAUGGUAACCAUUCAAGACGUAAUUAUUUGUCCAUCUUUCUGCCUAAUCUAAGGUCCAUUUGAUGUUGUGUAUCUCUUACUGAGAGAAUAAGUUAGUUCAAGUCUUAAUUUGCCUUUAGAAUUAAUUAGCCAUUUAGUGAUCUCAUAGCUUUAAAAAAAUAAAUAUCUACGGUGGAGAUUUUUCUGUCUUUUCACUUCAGACUCUCUUUAAAGAACAUUCACCCCUCUAACUAAUUCUCUUGUUCACUGGCUGUAAAAAAUAAAAGGAGGCUGUGUUUCUCGAGUUUCGUUUCAUUCCUAUGAAUGUGUUGCCGUUUAUUUAAUCAUUCUCCUCUUUACUCGAUUGUAUAUUAAUCCGCAUUUUCUUUUUAUUGGAUGAACUCUCCUUAUGAGUCCCCCGGACUCUCAUUUUUCGCAUUCGGUUGGGUUAACCCCAACUUCCAUCGAGUCAAGAUCCAUGUCAAGUCCGAAAAGGGACUAAUAUGCAAGAAACAAAGGCUGAUAUACAUUGAUAUACUCUGAUAUACGAGUGGUAUACACUGGAAGCAGCAGUUGCACACUUAUCACACGACUUAUGAUGAAAAAUGGAGCCAAAAUAAGCAGGUUUUCAUGCUGAUAUGCACUGCAUACACAGUGAUAUACAGAAAACGUAGGGAAAAGAGCUGCUCAUAUACAACGGAUAUACAGGGGUGAAAAUGGGCUGAAAGUCCAUGGAAUUAGUCCAAGAGCUGGACAGGCCCAAAGGGGCCCAAUUUUAACUUCUCUAUUUAUUAUUCAUUCUAAUUUGUUUAUUUGUAUUUACUUGAACAUUUUAAUCAAUUAAUUUAGAUAAAUUCCUGUUGCCAUUUUUCUUUAUCUUCAUUUCUUUUCCUUUCUUUCACUUAUUCGAAUUUCCUUAUGCACUUCAUCUUGUUUUAAAAAGUGAAAAAACUACUCUAUGUUAAUCUUUUUUUUUGGAAACAAGCCUUUCACAUUAAGGUGACUUUUUUCUUGUUCAUGUAGUAAUUAGUGUCCUUUAGGCUAAAUAGAAUUUUCUUAAACAUAAAAAGAAAUAGUUUUUUGUCUUCAUGAAUUGGUUAUCUAAAAAAAUAGAAUAUUGAAUGAAAUAAAAGCUAUUUUCAAAAAUUGCUCGAUUCAAGUUUGAUAUUUCAUAAAAAAAAAAAAAGUUAAUAUUUUCAUAAAGUUAGCCACCCUUUUAAGUUAGUCAAAAUAUUUUGAUAAACUAUUUUAAAACGGACGUUCCUAAGUGCCUUAAAAUCCUUUUUAGGAGGUUAAUUGAACCCUUACCCAUUUUCCUUUUUAAAGGUUUAUUUCUAUUUUUGAACCUUUAGAAUUCUUUUAAGUUUUCUUGAUUUUUUUAUAAAAAUUAAGUGGCAGAUCUGUAAUUUUUCUCGAGUUAUUUUGAAAUUUUCCUAAGUUUUAAAAUGAUUUGAGAAUUCAAAAAUUAUUUUCUUAUAAAUAAAUUGUCUUUUCUUUGGUAAAUUCGAAGAGGGAUAAAAUAUCAACUUUUGUUGACUUUUCUAGGUGAGCAAUUGAAGUUUGAUCGUAAAGAAAAGACAUUACUUUAAACAUUAAUCCUACGUACUAGGAAAGAUGUUUCCUUAUUUAUUUUAUUUAAAUUCUUUAAGUUUUAUUCAAAAUUCGAGCAAAGACAAUGUGUUUGUUUGGAACUCCGAAAGAGUUUAAAAAUAGAUCAUCAGAAUUGGUUUAAUUUUCUGGUAUUUUUAUAAUACUUUGAAGUAGGGGUGACAAAUUUGCCCCAAGCCUAAAUAACCUGCAAUCAGUCUAGAUUAUAAUGGGUUGGGCAUGACCCAUUCUUAAGGUGGGCUAGAUUUGGGUAAACCCAACUUAACUUAUUUAUUUUGACAACCCAAAAUAAGCUCAUAAAUUUAGCCCAAAUUGACGCAUCCCAAAUUAAAAUGGUUGCCCUGAUUUCUCUGAGAUAUUCUAGGAAGUGCAAGUCUCGACUUUCAACUCCAAGUCAUUGUUUCUCUUUGAAUUCUUCAACAAGUUCCUUAUCAUUUACAAAUUUAUUGUAUGUUUACAUUUAUUUUCAUUUCUUUCCUCCCUCUCUAUGCUUGUUAAAAAUCAUGGUGAAGAAUUUUAAUAUUACUCAUAAUUUGAUUUUUUGUUGAAGGCCAACUAUUUUUUUUUCGUUUUUCAACUUUACUUGUAAUUUCAUUUGGUAAUUAAUAUAAAAUUUUAACUUAUAUUUUGUUGUAACUUGAGAUUUUGAAUUUUAAAUCCUAAUAGUUUUGAAAUUAUUAGGCAGACUUGUUGCCUAUAAGGUGUUUUCUCAAUUGCCUUAAUGAGUCUCCUUUGUUGUGCACAGUAAUUUUGUACUCUAAUAAUGAUUGAGAGUUAUUUGCUUACAUUUUUGUUUCUUCCCUCUUUUUUGUUGAUUCAAGACUAAAGAUUAAUUUUUUUAACAUUCUACUAUAGCAGGUGAAAAUAUUGAUAGAGCCCGAUGAAGUCAAGUAUAAUGAAAUAAUUAUUGCAAGUUCAUCAAAAUAGUGUAGGACUACUUCUAAAUUUUGGGACUUCUAUGAUGAGCUGCCAUUGAAUUAUGAUCCUUAUAAUAGACUUCAGUCGGAAUAUAAGAAGCACAAGAAAGUGUUUAUGGCUGACUCAGUAGCAGGAGAUACAAAUUUAAAGCAUCACGUAGAAAAACACAAGGAUAAAGUAACAAGAUAAAGAUAUGUCUAUUGAUCAUAAAGAAUAUUGUGAAGUUAUUGCGAAAAGUGCUAGAAAAGUGCAUAUAUUCUUUUAUCCUGCCAUCAAAACCAUCUAAAAAAAAUAUCACAAAAGUUGAUGUGAUUAGAAUAUAUGAUAACAAAAAGGAGAUAGUCAAGAAUGAGCUUUAAGCUAUUCUAAAGAGAACUAGUGAUGACAUCUGUAUAUCUUUGUCUUAUUGCACACUAUGUUGAUUUGGAUUAGACUUUACAAAAGAAAGUUCUCAUUUUUCGUCUUAUGCCUCCUCCUUAUAGCGGUGUUGUUUUGGGUUCAAAGUUGAUUCAUCUAUUGAAGAAAUGAAAAAUUGAGAAGAAAAUAUUUUCAAUAACUUUAGAUAAUAAUGAAGGUGU